GGCAACCCUGACGGAGCAACGCCGCGUGGGGGAGGAAUGUCUGUGGAUUGUAAACCCCUUUUCUCAGGGAAGAAGUUCUGACGGUACCUGAGGAAUCAGCAUCGGCUAACUCCGUGCCAGCAGCCGCGGUAAGACGGAGGAUGCAAGCGUUAUCCGGAAUUAUUGGGCGUAAAGCGUCCGUAGGCGGUUUAUCAAGUCUGCCGUUAAAGACUGCAGCUUAACUGUGGGCGAGCGGUGGAAACUGAUGAACUAGAGUGUGGUAGGGGUAGAGGGAAUUCCCAGUGUAGCGGUGAAAUGCGUAGAUAUUGGGAAGAACACCAGUGGCGAAGGCGCUCUACUGGGCCACAACUGACGCUGAGGGACGAAAGCUAGGGGAGCG
rnacentral:rRNA from 1 species